GUUACUUUGGCAGAUUAAUGCAUUAAAUUUAGAAUUUAAAUAUGUAAUAAUAAUUACAUGUAAUU
rnacentral:tRNA from 2 species